rnacentral:rRNA from 1 species
AUUGAACGCUGGCGGCAGGCCUAACACAUGCAAGUCGCACGAGUGGCGGACGGGUGAGUAAUGUCUGGGAAACUGCCCGAUGGAGGGGGCUAACUACUGGAAACGGUAGCUAAUACCGCAUACCAUCGGAUGUGCCCAGAUGGGAUUAGCUUGUAGGUGGGGUAACGGCUCACCUAGGCGACGAUCCCUAGCUGGUCUGCGAGGUUGACCAGCCACACUGGAACGGCGACACGGUCCAGGCUCCUACGGGAGGCAGCAGUGGGUAAUAUUGCACAAUGGGCGCAAGACUGAUGCAGCCAUGCCGCGUGUAUGAAGAAGGCCUUCGGGUUGUAAAGUACGUUCAGCGGGGAGGCGUUACCCGCAGAAGAAGCACCGGCUAACUCCGUGCCAGCCGCCGCGGUAAUUC